GAAGCGCUUAACAAACAUGAAUUCACCGCUCCUCCACCCGCUCCAGUCAAAGCACCUGAACCUGAAGUAGCUGUAAAAGAAGAGAAAAAGCCUGAAGAAGAUGAAAAGAAAACCGAAGAGGUGGUAGAAGAGAAGAAAGAUGAAGCAGUAGUUGAGGAGAAGAAGGUUGAUGAAGAAAAAGGUUCAACCUCUGAGGAACCUAAAGUUGAAACUGCUGAACCUGAAAAGGAGGAGAAGAAAGUGGAGGAAACGGUUGUAGAAGUUGUUGAGAAAAUAGCUGCAAGUAC
rnacentral:lncRNA from 1 species